CGGGGUGUGGCUCAGUCUGGCUAGAGCACCUGCUUUGGGAGCAGGGGGUCGCAGGUUCGAAUCCUGCUACCCCGACCA
rnacentral:tRNA from 1 species